rnacentral:lncRNA from 1 species
AGAGGUUAAAUGACAUGCCCAAAGUUUAAAUAACUAGUAAGUGGUGGAGUAAAAGCUGGGAUUUAAAUCCAGCAGACAUGCUCCUGCACCCUGGCAAUCACGGGAUGGUGUAGAGAGGGCACUGUUAUUUCAAUAAGAGAGGGAAGCUACAUAGUUACCUUAACCUUCUUUAUUUCAUGCAGAAUCAAAACAAAACAAACAGAACCAAAUUCUUAGAAAUCUGGCCUGAGGGGAAGGCCCAUGAUGGCGCUGGGAUGUAAAGACAGGUAAUGGAGUAAGUUACUAUGAAAAGAAGUCUGGAAAAAUGCUACCGUCAAGAAGUUUGAAAGUCAAUGUGUCCUCUUUUAUGCUUUCUUUUGUCUGUGAAAAGCUAAUGUCAAAUCUUUACCUUUGUGCAGGGAUAUAUUUUUUGAUGGUUCAGUGAAUUGUUCUCUCCCAAACAGUAAUAAUUUUGAGUAACUCUUGUUCUAUCUGUACAUAAAAAACACAGUGUGUGCUUAUAGAGCUGUCAGAAUCUGCGAGGAAAUAAAUUUUAAUUCCAUGGCAAGGCAAAUAAACUCUCUUAGUGAAAACAAGAUAAUACGUUGUAAAAAAAGAAGGAAAAAUAUAUUGCAACAGUCCUUUCAAAUUCUUCCUCUUGAGGUAUAUAUGAACUUCAUGAUAUUUAGAGUAUUGAAUAUCAUUAAUAAAAACUCAAAGAGGAAUAUAAAAUGAUUCAUGUACUUUUUGACUAAGAAUUUUUUAAAAUACAGAAAAAUUAAAACUGAGAGAAUAUAUAAGGGAUAAUUUAACAAAAACCCAAAGAUUUAAAAAGUUCCCAACCAUAUUACACUCAAAUUUACCCAGUUUUCAUGUUUCCCUGUAGAUUUACAGAUUUACAUAUAAGGAUUAGCUUAUUUCAUCUGUGUCUGAUAGAUACCAACUGUUAAUGAUUUCGGCUUAAAAAAAUCUGUAAUGUCCUUUUCCUAAAGAAAAUUUAUAGCUGUAUCAAGUGGACAGGAUAUUUUUGCAU